rnacentral:rRNA from 1 species
GUCCUGCUAUCGGGGUUCGAUUAAGCCAUGCGAGUCGAGAGGGUUCAGACCCUCGGCGGACUGCUCAGUAACACGUGGAUAACCUGCCCUAAGGUGGAGGAUAACCCCGGGAAACUGGGGAUAAUACUCCAUAGAUUAGAGAUACUGGAAUGUUCUUUAGUCGAAAGUUCCGGCGCCUUAGGAUGGAUCUGCGGUCGAUUAGGUUGUUGUUGGGGUAACGGCCCAACAAGCCUGUAAUCGAUACGGGUUGUGGGAGCAAGAGCCCGGAGAUGGAAUCUGAGACACGAUUCCAGGCCCUACGGGGCGCAGCAGGCGCGAAAACUUUACAAUGCAGGAAACUGUGAUAAGGGAACCCCGAGUGCCCGUAUACGCGGGCUGUCCAGGUGUCUAAAAAGCAUCUGAAGAAAGGGCCGGGCAAGACCGGUGCCAGCCGCCGCGGUAAUACCGGCGGCUCGAGUGGUGGCCACUAUUAUUGGGCUUAAAGCGUCCGUAGCUGGACCGAUAAGUCUCUUGGGAAAUCCGCCGGCUUAACCGGCGGGCGUCUAAGAGAUACUGUUGGUCUAGGGACCGGGAGAGGUGAGAGGUACUCCGGGGGUAGGAGUGAAAUCCUGUAAUCCCCGGGGGACCACCGAUGGCGAAGGCAUCUCACCAGAACGGCUCCGACAGUGAGGGACGAAAGCUGGGGGAGCGAACCGGAUUAGAUACCCGGGUAGUCCCAGCCGUAAACUAUGCGCGUUAGGUGUACUGGUGACCACGAGUCACYGGGGUGCCGAAAGGGAAACCGUGAAACGUGCCGCCUGGGAAGUACGGUCGCAAGGCUGAAACUUAAAGGAAUUUGGCGGGGGAGCACCACAACGGGUGGAGCCUGCGGUUUAAUUGGACUCAACGCC